ACACCGGCGGGGACUGCGUCUUCAUCGAACACGACAUUGUGGGGGAAUCCCUUGUUGUUGACGAAAGUGACAGACUCACCAGCGGCAACGGAGAUAUCCUUGGGGUAGAACCCGAGGGCACCGUCGUCACCUCCCAUCUUCACGGUGGCGGCAUUGGCGGAGGCCACGAGCAGCAAGGAGCUGGAGGCGGCAAGGAGGGCCUUCCCGACGGUCUUCAAGGCAUCGCUGCUGGCCGAGGCACGGACGACGGGGGCCAUGCGCACCACGGAGGUGGAGGACAACCUAGCGGGGGCGGCCUUGGUCUCGGCCUUGAGGCCAGAAAAGGAGGGCACGGAGACAGCAGCAGCUGCGACGGACGCCAUGGAAGCAGAGGUGCGAUGACAAACGAGGCAACACUCACUAUCCACGAUGGAGGAAAAUACGCAGUCGGGCAGAGAGUGAGCGAGGGGGUUGUUUUAUAAAGGAAGGAGUCGCCAUAGCCAUAGCUGUGGCCAUGGAGCCUGCUCGCAGACACGCAGCAAGGGCGUGAGCCACAGAGGCCGUCCAAGUGGAGCCUUCCAUUGGACAGAUUCAGAUAAGCCAGUGGGAGGCUGAGGACGCACCAGGGCCGCCCGAUCGGACCCGUCAUCCGACGCUCCCCAGACUCUCUUUCUCUCCCCGUAGAAUUCUAAGAUGUGUUGCGUUUGGAUGGAAUUCAUGAUUUUUCUUUUUAUUUUCUUUAAUUUUCUCACAGUAGUGCUAGAGAUAUGAACUUUUGGAUCUGUAUUUUUCAUUAUUAUAAAAAACUAUUAUCAUUAUUAUUAUAAAUUAUAUUUUUAAAAACCAUAUAAUUAAAUGUUAUAAAAAAAACUUAUAAUUCUGUAGGUGCUAUAUAUGUAGAAGGAAGACAAAAACAAAUCUAUUUAAUCUCCUCACCUCUUACUUUGAAUCUAAUUUUUUUUGUAAUUUUUAAAUCUUUUGUUUCCUCUCCAUAACUAUUUAGAAAUAUUAUCGAGUUUAAUAUGAAUUCUAGCUUUAUUACUACUUCUUUAUUCUUUUGCAUAAGAUUUAAACGUUUACACUGAUAUAUCACUACUUCAUAAGACCAAUUGCAGAUAAUACAACUAUUUUAUUUAUAUACAAAUUGUGGUCUUUUUUCUUUGUACAAAAGAUAAUUCAAUAUUUUAAAUAUAAAAAGCUACAAAAAAUUUAAAUUGUAUUAAAUAUUAAUCUUUUGUAUAGUAUCACAUUUUUGGAUAAUCUUGCCAUGACUAAAUAAAUAUAAAUAAACAAAACUCUUGUAGUGUUAUCAUAAGACUAAACAAUGAAGUUUGUAGAUCCAAUGUAAAAUAAUUAAAUCCAUACUAACAUUCAUAAACAUAUAAAAAGACACAUUCAUCCUAAAUGGUACAUGAAUGAUACGAAUUUUAUCACCACUUGUUUAAAUGUAAGAUGAAUUUUCUACAGAAAAAAUUAUAAUCAAACUUUCAAGCCAUUAAAAGAACCACAAGUUAUUGAUAUAAAAUCUUUAACAGAAUAGUCUCUUGUUUGAGGAUAUAUAGUAAUCAAUUUGAGUUUUCAUAUUAAGAUUCUACUUUAAAGUUAUAUAAUUUUAGCAUAUUAUAUAGGAUAUCUUAAAUUUUUAGUUUAAAUGUUUAAAACCUAAAAAAAAUUCUAUUUUAAAACUAAAAAAACAUACACUAUUAAUUUUUUAAAUGCAAAUCAGCAGAAUUUAAAUGUACAGUCACAAUACAAAUUUAUUUAAAAGAAAGAAAAUUAUGAAUGUAAAAAUUAACAUAGCAUAAUCUAAUUCACACACACACACACACACACAUAUAUAUAUAUAUAUAUAUAUACAUAUACAUACAUAGAUUAAAAAAUUAAAAAACUAAAACUCAUGGUUGAUUUUAGAUUAUAUUGUUGUUUGAAAAUAUUUUACUUUGGUCAUCUAAUUUAAUAAAUUUAGCUUAAAAUAUUUAUAUUGAAAAAAAUACAUAUAUAUCAAAAGUAUAGUUAUCAAAAAAAUAAAAUUCUACUACUUGUUGGUCAUUUAUUACGAAAUGAUAGUUCUUUGAAUAUAAGCAAAAUAUAUAAUAUAUAUCAACCAAUCUAUUAUAAAAAUUUAAAGAUUACAUAAUAUAAUUUUAGAUUUAUAUAUGAAUAUAUAAAAAAAUAUUAGAUUAUUUAAUUUAAAAAACAAAAAAAACAAAACAAAUAUUUACAAUCAAAAGAUAUAUAUAUAUAAUAAAAAUAAAAAAAUAAAAUUUAUAUUUUUAAAAUUUUAAUAAUAAGAUGCUAAAAGAUCGUGGAUAAGUUAAAGUUAAGUUUAAAAAAAAAAUGUGUGUUGAAAGCCAUCCCUUCAUUUAAGAUACCAAUUUUUUUUAUCUUUAAACAAUGAACCUAAAGGCUAUCUUAGAAAAGGUAUCUAAUUAGUAUCUAUAACCAGAUGAGCAUAAAAUCUAAAUGGCUCCUUGUACCAAAUCAUUUCUAUAAAUCCUAAACUCUUAAAUCUUUUUUUUUUUUUUUUUUUAAAUCCCAAAUUGUUAAUUGUAUAUCCUUCUUACCAAUAGUUUUGAGGCUCUUAACAAUUGGUUGCCCAUGCAUAAGCUGCUCAUUGAGUUUCAUGUAACUAUCUAACAUCUAUAUUUGUACAUACGCAUGGAUGAUGGAUGGAUAAUAUAAAAAGGUUAUAGUGUGAGUUGAGUACAUGUUUUACAAAAUUGGCAUCUAAGUAGCUUAACUUUCUUAUAAUGUGUGUGUAAUAAAAAAAUCAAGAAAAUAGCAGCUUUUUUUUAGUAUUUUUAAGAAUAGUUUUCAAAUACAAGGCUAUACAAUGUAAUUAAGUUUCUUGCAAUUUAGUCAUGCAAUUUUUUGUUUCAAGUUCAACAAAGAAUAAAAAAUAAAAAUAAAAAUAAAUUUCAUUUAAAAUUUUCUUUUUAUUAAUUUUUUAAAUUCCAAAAUAAAUUAUUUAUUCAAAAUAGCUUGCUAAUUUAUACACAUAAGAAUACAAGGUAAAAAAAAUCAAAAUCACUUAGAAGCUUUUAAAAAUAAAUAUAAUUAUUAUAAAAAAUAUAAAAAAUAAUUUAAUAAAAAAUAUGCUAUAAAAUAAUUAAAUAGAAAAACAUGAUUAUGUAUUGCUUAUUCUUUUUCAAAAAGUUAUUCUACACUAGAGCAUAUUUCCUUUGACUCUGUUGAAAAAUACUUAUUAAACAUAGUGCAAAUUAGACACAAUUUAUCAAAAACAUUAAAGUAUAUAUAUAUCAAACACAAUAUUGAAGUUCAGUUUAAAACUCGAAUGUCGAUAUUUUAAAACUAUCAACAUAGAAUCGAAAAAGCAUUAGUUUUAAAAAAUAUGACUUUAUAAUUUAUAAUUUUAUUCUUUAUUCUUAUUUAUUUCAAGACAAAAAAGAUUUCGUUUUUCAUUUUUUUAAUGUUUGAGCAGUAAUGUUUGUGAAAUUUAAAUUGUUUUUAUAUUUUAAAAAAAAGACUUGGUUUUUUAUUUUUUAUUUUUUAAAUUAAUACUCACUUCCACUUUGUGAAAUAAUAUACUGUUCAUUUGAUGUUGUUAGUUUUCUAAAUACUAAAAGUGCAGUCUAGAACAACUAUAAUUUUCAAUUUUCUUAGAGAAACGUAUAACUUCCAAAAUCCGAUCAAAUUUUGAUAUGUAUAUAUCAUUAUUAUUCGUGUUAAUAUACAUGUUUGCAUGAAUACUGUGAAUCAGAUCAUGAAACUAAUUUGAAAAAAAAACAUAAAAUAAAAAUUUAUUCUCUGCAUUCGUAAUAAAAGUUUCAGAAAAAGCUUGAGGAUAAUUCUCUUACAAUCCUUGAAUUAUUGUGGGUUGCAUGCUCAAUUCAAUAUUUACUUUUAUUAGUCUUAAUUAGUCCAUAAUAAACUUACGUGAAGAGGAGGAGCUUGACAAUCUUGGAGUUUUUUUUAAACGAAAACGAAAAAGUAAAAGAAAAGGAGAUCCUGAAAAGAUGUAAAACAGAAAGAAACCAAUCACGAAAAAGAUGCGAUAUCGGAAAGAAGAAUCAUGGAAAGAUGCGGUCGAGGAAAGAGGGAGUGGGGAAAGAUGCUUGUGGCGGAAAGAAAAGGGAACCAAGUCGAGGAUGGGGGAAUCCCGAAAGGAGAGGAUGCCGGGCUGCCCGGUGGGAGGAGGAUGAAAAGGCGCGGGGGGGGGGAGUGUGCAGGGGGGAAAGGAUAAAGACAGCAAGGAAACGGAAAGACAAAAUGCGCGGAGUGGGUGGGUGCGCAUCCCCCCCCCUUCUUCCUCCCCUUCUCUCCCCUGCCCCACGCUGGAUGCCUGUGUCUCUCUGGGUGUAUGUGCUUGUGUGUGUCUCUCAAGCCAUGAAUGAGACGAUGAGUUGCGGGGUCGCCAUCGUUCCUUCGCAUAAAUCUACACUACAGCUUGCGCAUUACAGCUUUAUUGCGUCUCCGCUGCUUCUCUUCAAUAGGACGGACUGCUGCCCGCAGAGCUAUGAAGCGUGGGGGCCUUCUCUAUAUCGUGCUCUUUCUCUCGCCACCUUGGCUGCUUAGAAUUGCGGGAGUUCCAUGCAGUGUGAAAGACAGCUAGCAGCUGGUGCUCUGACACGCUAUUGGGAUUAGUUAGUGCUCCCCUCUUCCUUUGCUUGGAUCCUGCGUUGUGAUCGUGGCGUUGUUUGCGACUCACUCUUUGAUCGUGCUCCCGUACUUUCGCGGUCGCUGUAGUAGUGUGUUCAACAGGUUUUAAAUGAUUGCUAUUUUUUCCCGCUGGUCCGCGGGAGGUUCAAGACAGGCUCCUAGUUGGUUUCUGUUCACGGCAGGGGGCGGGGAUUCGAUUCGCGAACACUAGGCCUGUAGUGAGAAAGUGAGUGAGGUUGCGUGACUUGUGGGAUGUUUGAUGCGCUUGAGGGAGCAUGUGUGGAGGUCAGUGUGCUAGCUUUGACGAUAAUUUAUUACUCGAAGGAUAUUCUGGUGGUUCUUUUGGAUCGCGGUGUAGCGUGGAGGUGUUUUUCAGCGUGUUUUAUUCCUGCCUACGCGAACUUCCGAGAGGACACGAAGAGUUGUAGAAGGAGUAGUACUUAGAAUGCGAGUAGCGUUUUGAGGGGGUUCUCAGGUAGUGUUUCUGGUUCUGGUUUUCUCCUUCAAAUCCUAGGCUGUGCAACGUCUGGUGUUUCUUGGCGGAGUCAGGUUGAAGCUUUGACUUGUUUAAGUGUAAUGAACUUUUAUGUUCAGCAUUAAUACGCCAGUUUGUGUGUCACAAGGGCUCCUACACAUCACAUUCCUUUCCUCAGGCGAGCGAAGACUUGUUAUUUGAUUUUUCCCUUAAUUCAAUCUAUGUAGGCGGAGUUCAAAAUUUAGGUUGAAUGGUCUGCGUCUGAGCUGUCACAGGAGGUUCUGUCGAAUUUGGCGCUGGAAUGUCCAUUGGAGUCUUCUCCACAUUCUUUCACCUCUCACGAUUUCGCGAGCUCCCAUCUCUUAUAUCCCUAGCCGUGAGUCUGGAAGGCAGUGCUGCCAUAUUUAUCGCAGAGAAUCCUACAGAGGUGACGGCAUUCUAAGCUAUACCUCACUCCGCGACUGUGGUAUAUCACGUGAUCGCAUUUUCUUUUGCAUACGCGCCUAAUUACUGUCAGAAAAAGAGAAGCACCGGAGAUUCUUGCACCGAAUCAUUUUUCAAUUGUCCUUGGGAAAAGUGGGUAAGGGUGGUGCAGCCAGAAAGUUAUCUUUUUAUUGGCGAAACUCCGGAAGAGAGCACGUCAGGCUUGAAAAUGCUGCCAAGUGAAAAGCACCUUGUCAUGGUACAGGAGAGAAUGCUAUCGUAAUAGUGAAAUCCAUUUAACUCUGGGGAGUCACUCCAGCAACAAUUUGGUGUUAGAUAUCCCUCAGGCCUUGAACGGAGUUUCUGUACUCCAAGUUCAGGUAAGCACACAUCAUCCAAGAUUAGUUCUGACGUACUGCUGCUGGCAUGUGUAAUCGUCAUGCUACCGGCGUAAUGUUUAUAAAAUAUUCUCCGAUCCUCUCCUGGAUUAGUUCUCUUGUGGCAAUUUCCGCAAAGGCUGCAUUGCAAGUGUCCGAAAGCCUCUCAAAGGUCAUUAGUGGUAGGAUGGUCUCUAUUGAAGUUCAGGCGCACUCUGUUCUACUUUUACAUAGAUUUCCCAAUCAUCUUACCUUGUUGCUCUUUUAACAUCCUGAAAAUACUCUUUUGCUAGCCUACGCACUAGUGUGAACUGCUCUGUUGUUACAAAUUGUUUCGAUGGAAUUAAGUGCUGGGCUUGAGCUGAGUUUCUCUUCAAGGCUUUUAUUAUCAAGUGACUUCUAAGCUGGUAUCAUUCGGACUAAAAGCUUGUCAAUGUCGAGAAUGUCAUAUGGUCGGAUUUAGAAUUUUCUGCAUUUUUAAUCAUGGUUUUGUUUGUGUCAAGUUUCUGCAGAUUUUGAAAGCAUAGUGCUUGCUUAAAGCAACCUAAGCCAAUGCAAGACAGGCAAGCUGAGGUUGGUCGUAGAAACCUCUGAGAUAUUCUCAACACUCAUUUUCUUUUGUAAGAGGACAGUGAUGGCAUUAGAUAAUGGAAAGACGAGAACUGUUGUACUUGCGACAAGACGAUGUGCUCGAGCAAUGUUUAAUCUCUAGAACGGUGAAGGCUGUUGGUUGUGAAUGCCGAAUUCUGUUUCGACAUUUCUUGAAACGCGCACUUGGUUCUGAAUUUUGAAUCGAGUAUCUUGUACAAAAGCGUUGAUUGAAGUAGGGGUAAACUAGUCGUUCUACUCACAGAUUUGGUGUGGUGCUUGCCGAGGUUUAUUUAGUAAUCCAGUAGCUCUGUAAAGCCUUCUCGCGGUCCUUGCAGUAUUGGCCCCGGCAACUGUUGAAGAAGUGGAUAAGCUUUGGAGAGACUGGAGAUGACUUCGAUCGAGACAUUGACUCUAACGCUGAUGAGUCCAGUGAGUCAGAAGACUUUGGAGCUAGCGAUGGUAAGUAUUUCGAAUAGUGCUUCUGUCAUCCUCUUUUUAUAACCAGAGCGAUCAGUGUGAACGUUAACCUGUUAGUAUAUGUUGUGCAUUGUCAGGCGCUGGAGGGUCUGGUGAUGAGGGUACAAGGAUGCUGGCCGAUUCAGAACCAGACUCAGAUGCGACACCAUUUGCAGGUCAAUUUCAAUGAUAUAGCUGUCUACAUGUGAAGAAUUCGUAGCUGAUUACGUAAUUGAGUUAGAUCAGCAGAUGUUGUAGUAUUUCUUCAGUUUCAGGAGAGAAAUGUGGCAGGUGCAUCAUGUAGCAUGGGAGUUGGAAUCACGUGUUUUUGUUUAGAUUCUUCAGUUGAUGUUUUAGCUUGUCAAUUUGGUCUCAGAUUUAUCACACAAGAACCCGCUUCCGCGAGUGCAGUCAGAGACUCUGAGAAAGCAAUUCGUUGUUAACAAUGAAUAUAAGUAAGUUUCUUUUGCACUUUCUUGGUAACCUAGCUGACUUCCUGGAUUUUGGUAGUCUUUGGGUAUCAAUUCGAGUGGUUUAUUUGUUGAUUAUGUUGCUUCCCACUGUUUUUGUUUUUCUUUCUGAUAUUCUAAUUAUUAUAAUCGACUGCUUGUGAUCUAGGAUUGCUCAGUACUCCCUUCGACACGCAUUGACGUUUCUGUAAUGACGCAGAAUUUCAGUUGGUACCUGGAAUGUUGGAGGGUUACUUCCUCCAGACGAUAUCAACUUAGAUGGGUUUUUAGACUGUCCAAAUCCUGCAGACAUCUAUGUUCUUGGGUGAGUAUUCCUUGUUGCAUUGCUGAAGGUGGUUCAGAUGGUGCUUCUCCUAUUCGCAUGCAGAGGGAGAAGCUCCAAGGUAUCAGCAAAGCGAUGAUACAAAUAUGCGCAUCUAUGAUAGUUUUUGCAGUCAAUCUUUAAUGGUGCUUAUCAGUAACUGGGGUAGAGGAUUCUGCAGGUUUCAGGAGGUUGUGCCACUUAGUACCAACAAUGUGCUAUGUGUGGAAGAUGACGCGCCUACCGUCAUAUGGGAUGGCUUGAUUCGGCAGGCUCUCAAUAACAGGGUGAAGUGUUGCGAAAGACCUCAUAGAAGUUAUAGUGAACCUGCGUCUCCAAUGUGGAAUGAGAAUGAGGCUAUAAGUGACGUUCCUGAAAUCUCUGAACACGCUGGCUUAGUCUUCACGGCGGAUCCUAUCGAAUCAUCCUUACUUCCUCAGAAAAUUCUAAAUUCAAGCGAUAGCCAAUGGCUUCUGGGAAAAAUAAGAUCAAGUAGCAUGAAUCGGACCGUGAAGAGUUUGACUGAGCAUGUUAAAGUGGCAGAGGAUUGGCUCUGUGAGACAUCGAUGCCUGGAGAUAACGUUACUGAAGAAUCUCUGCCUUUUAACUCUUCUCGAACCCUCAUCGAACAUUCUUGUAACCGGUAUUCUCGGCUUGCGAGUAAGCAGAUGGUUGGGGUUUUCAUAUCUGUAUGGAUACGGUCAGACCUACGACGAUAUGUCAACAAUGUAAAAGUUAGCGUUGUUGGUUGUGGAAUUCUGAAUUUUCUCAGAAACAAGGUAUGUAUUGAUCUCUAAUUUCAGUUCUGAGAUGUAUACUAAAGAAUUAUCGUGACAUAUGAUCCUGCUUCAAUUCUAUUCCGAUCAUGUUAUGCACCUUGUAACCACCAUUCAAUUAUCGAUAACCACAUCUAGGAUUGAAUCCUUUGUCUUGUCCAGCAUCUUUUUAGGGGUUUGACUACUAGAGAUUACUGUGCAGGGUGCUGUUUCUGUCAGUUUUUGUCUACACCAAACUAGCUUCUGCUUUGUAUGUACACAUUUGACAUCUGGUCACAAUGAUGGUGAUGAGUUUCGUCGGAAUGCUGAUGUUGAUUACGUUCUUCGUCGCACCACUUUUCCUAGAUUGGAAAAAUCUUUAGGAGUGCAGUUACCAGAGACAAUUUUGGCACAUGAGUAAGUAUCAUGUUGAUUCUGCCACUUGUUUCUUCCAAAUUCUGCAGCAAUGUUCGUAGUAAGUGAAAUUAAUCAGCAGAUAUGAGUUAUAUUUUUAAUGAUUACAGGUCGCGCAUCUCUGCACAGUGCCUUGUACUGAACUGCUCGUUCUGAAUAUUUUAUCUGAAUGUGGAUGACGAUUUAUUCAAUAGACCAAGUUUUGGCCUAGAAGGUUAACUUGUCUAAUCCUGCGACUUGUUGUUUGUUGGAACAAUGACGUGCAGCCGAAUCAUAUGGUUGGGAGAUUUAAACUAUCGGAUCGAUCUACCGGAUAUGGAAACAUGGGCCCUUGUCAAUCAAUGUGAUUGGAAGAGUCUUCUGGCUAGAGACCAGGUAUAGUUUUUGACAUUUUAGGUGGUUUGCAAUUUAAAGUGGAUACAAGGCUGUUUCUUUCAGUACCUACCCAAUAUCACUGUUAAUUUAGGCACAAUGAUUAACUGAAAAGUGUCGCAGAUGAUUUUUUUGGAAAAUUUCCUAUUAGCUUAAUCUUACUCAUUUCUGAUACCCAGAUUGUUGUUCACAUAGUUGAAAAUGGAGAGAAAUGCUGGGCGGGUUUUUAAGGGCUGGCAUGAAGAUGUCAUCACUUUUCCUCCAACGUAUAAGUUUGUGGUGGAAUCUGACCAGUACUUUGGUGAAGAUACAUUCAAAGGGGAUAAGCGACGUACACCUGCAUGGUAAUGGAAGCCUUCAUUUACUGCCAGUAAAAAGCGCUACUAAUAUGGGGUAGGACUCUCAGUUGUCAAUCGUCAGUGCAGUAAACAGAGCCAUCGGAUCAUAUGUAUUGAUUCUGUAGUUUUGGUCUGGAUUAUUAUGUUUAUGGUUUAUUUUGAACCGCAUUCUUAAUAGAUACAUGCUUUAAAUAUAGAGGCUUGUUAUUUGAAAAUUUUCACAAGUUUUAUUUAUAGACUUAAUUGGUUUUAGGCUGUGAGUUUGAACCAUAUCUAAAAUGCGUCCAAACCAUCAUAAUUUGUUAUUACGUAGAGACAUCAUACAUUUUGUUUUUCCUCAUAGGAGGUUUAUAUGUUUGCAGGUGUGACCGAAUAUUAUCAUAUGGUCAAGGCUUGACACAGUUGAGUUACUCAAUGAUUGAAGCAGGGCUUUCAGACCAUCGACCAGUUAUUGCAAAGUUUAUCGCGGGAGUGGAAGCAGUAAGCUGCCGAAAGCUAAGAAAAGCUUGUAGGCAUUCGAAUGAUGCAAAAGUAAAUGUUGAAGAGCUCUUGCCUAGAACUUUCCCAGCCAGCAGGUUUCACAGCUCUCAAAACCAUGAGGUAUUCAGAUGAAGUUCUUUUUGACUUCUUGGUCGCAUGGUGAAUGUUUUGCAGAGAUUACAAUAUCCAUGAAGAGUUAAAUUCUGGCUGAUAUAGCAGUUCCAGAGGUUGCUCAUGCUUUUGGCAAAGUCUGCCAAUUUCAUAACAAUCAGUUGGUUGAUUAUAACAACUCAUCCCAUUUUUCGGCGAAAGCUUGCAGAUAGUGUUGUUUGAUAUCACUAGGUAGUGGACAUCAAUGAUCAUCAACAUCACCCUCCGAAGUAUAUCCCAGCCUUGUAUGUCAGUCGUUUCUCGAUCGCUGACUCUUUGACGGCCAAUUUUUUCGGUGAGCCUCAUCUCAACCCCUGUAGACAUUUUUUGACUUCCAUCCUUAGUCCCUAGGAUGACAGCAAACAGAUCGCAUGCCCAAUGUAUAUUCGUUGUAAACCGGCAGGAUAUAUUCGCAUGUUGUGUUUCAACCAUGAUGAACCCCAGUAACAAAACUAUAUCGGGCAUUGAAUAAGUCAACCUUAUGGCGAUGAUUUCACACUUAAACAAUAUGCAACAUUGUAACUUUUGGAUUUUAUUCGUGUGCAGCACAUUUUGUGAAACAAGCCGGAUCGUUACAAAUAUUUGCUAGUGCAAUACCAUGCUGGACUAACAACCUUGGGAGGUUACGAUGUCGUCGCAUGUUUGGAUUGGCUGGGUUAUUCAUCAAGUAACCAGUGGAUGUUAAAACGACGUCCAGUCAUUAUUUAAGGUUUGAUCUAACACUUUAAUGAGCCUGUAAUUAUUAACAGCUCAUGUGCUGUGGAUUUCGAUGUAUGCAUGUGUUGAUCACAUGCUCUGAAUCCAAUUUUAAAUUCUAUUUUUAUUGAUAAAUGCCAUUAAUUUUUCCAAAUGCUCUUAUGAACUUUCAAAAUGUGAGUUGAGUGUUUCAGGAUAGGUUCAUUCCUUGUCCAGCCGGAGAAUGAUGAAAUCUGUUUAUACUAAUUUUGUGGAUGCAGGGUGCCAUGUCAUGAGCUCAAGGUAUCUAUUGAACUCGUGUACCCAGCUGGGUUCGAGUAAUUUUGGGAAAUGGAGCUUGUACUAUACAUGACUAGUCCCAUAGAGUUCAUAAUACUUAUUAUGAUCUAUGUGAUCUACUUGUAGCAUAGAUUCAUUUAGAUUAUCAUACUUCUCAUUACUAUCUAUUAUAGUGUUCACCAAGGAGCUCACUUACCAGAAAAGUGGGGUCUCUCCUCCAGUUAUUAGCUCAACUUAUUUUCCAGUAACACAGACAGUAGCAACGACCACCUUUGAACUCUUGAACAGGUGAUAGCUUGAUCAUCUAUAUUCAUGUGCAUUUUUGGUAGUCAUAGCCUUCUUUGUUUCAAGGUAGGCCGUACUACCCGAAUGAAAGAAACAGUUGCAUGUCCAAGUCGCACAUCGCUUUGGUGAAUCUUCAAUCCAGGCUUUGACCAAAGUGAUGAGCCAUUUCGACAUGGUCUCAUUUUCUACCGUGGUUGACAAUUUUACAUUUUGAACACCACAAAUCUCACAUUUUCUCUUCGUGUCGCUGAAAGUGAACUUCGUGAUAUACGAUAGUUUAGUUUAGUCACACUACUAUUCAUUUUGAAAAAUUGCAAAAUAAACCGAAGGUUGAGAUGACCCCAAUCACCUUCGACAGAGAUCAUGAACGAUAUCCGUGCUGACGUCUGACCACGUGAAGUGACACAAUCAUACAACAGUUGCAACCACCCGGAACAAGGAAUCGCAUGAGUUAUUACAUAGUGCCGAAGCUGAAGGUUCUGGUAUCAUCAGUCAAGUUUAUCACUCAUGGUUGUUGCUACAGCACGAGAAAUAGAACAACGCCUCAAUAAUCUGCGGACUUGUCACCUCACUAGUGGUUCAAAAACUUCAUAUGCUACAAUCAUGAAAACAGAAUUUCGGAAAAUCAUGUCGAGCCGCUAACUACUGAUAUCAACAUCUACUAAAUGUGAUAGAACUUGAGGUGGGAAGGGCAAGGAUCCCACAUAAGUUAGAGAAUCCGGGAUAAUAACUGCGAUUUAAGCUUACGGCAAGUGGAAGUUGUUAUACAUCAUUAACAAGUGCAACAGGGGAGGCAGACAGACGGUUAUAUCCCCCACUUUUGGCUCACUUCAACUAAUCCCCACCAAACAACUUGGCAGGGCAUGUAACCUCUUCGUUUGUUAAUUGUGAAAGUAACUUUUCUUUUGCACGAAUCUUCCCUUGACAGGCAGAGCUAUGUGAAUACUUUUAAUCAACCCAACGGCAGAAAAGGAAUCUGAGAAUAGCAUCCCCUUCAAGUUUGAAGAGGACGUCCUUCACUUAGCUGCCUAGCCUGGCUAAAUACCAACACAAGCAAGUGUAACAGAUGUACAUCAGCGCACACAACAAGCACCAUGAAUUUUGUCAAAAGACUUGUCCCAUUAAGAAGCGAGGGUGUGCAUCCAGGCCACUUAAAUUUUGCAGCUUCAUUCCAACGCUUACUAGACUAUUCAAUAAUUAAUGACAGAUUAGCUUCGCGAUCCAUAGGAAAUAUCUCACGACAGAGCCUCAAUCACAUUGGAAAACAUUCAUUUCGCAGUCUACCGAGUAGAAGAUUGCUGUAAGAUUCACCGUUUCUGAAAUCAAGCCACUCCAAAUUUGAGAUGGACUUGGAAGUUUUCCAGUAGGUUGAUCUCUCCGCAAUAUUUUUAGAUGGAUGCUUCCCUUCGGAAUGCUCUUUUCUAAGUGUUGUUGCUGUCUGCUCAGCUUCUCUGAACACUCUCUGCAGAUCCAACCAACAACGAGAUAGAAAACGUCAAGUUCUGAGGGACAUUGGCAAAAUAAUCAACAGUCCCAAAUACCAACAGGAUUAUGAUUCCCGGCAAUUGGAAAAGUCGUGAAAAAUUUUACCUCCUUAUCCCGAAGCAUAAGCCCAGGCUCGAACUCCAGAAGAGCAGUGCUGUAGUCACCACGAAACCAUGUUAAAGGCUCAACAUCUCAUAAUUUUUGAACAAACUAUAGAUCACAUGGAUAUAGUUUAAAAACUCGCGAGUUGUCCUCAGAGGCGAAUUCAGAUCUGACCAUGCUACGUUUCAGGUACUAGAAGACGAAUUUCGAAGGUCAAGCACACUAAAAUGAUUAGAGUCCGCAAACCUGAAAGAUAGCUUUCCAGGAGUAGGACACUCGACUGCUAUCAUUUUAACUUGAUCCCCAACUUUGAGCACGUUAGAAACUCGAUUAAUCCGAGCAGUUGACAUGUUACUUAUAUGUAUUAUUCCACUGCAUACAAUCGAGCAGUGGACAUCAAAAUCAGACGUUCUUGAUAGUGCAUUACAUAAGCAAAAACUGCUAAUAUCAAUCUGUUUCCUUGACACCUAUAUUGAUCAUUUGACAGGGGAAACUUUCAGUUGUUGAUGUGCAUUCUUCCUUCGAAGUCAACAGAAGCACUCACAAGUACUCAGCUUGUAGAAGAAUAUCAAAACAUCAAUAGAGCUCAUACCCUAUGUUCGUCCGGUUGAUCUGGACAUAAGCGCCAUAGUUGACAAUUUUUGUUACAGUGCCAUCAUGAAGAGACCCAAGUUUAAGAUUCCGUUGAAUCUGCACUCAAAGAGAUAAUCAGCGCCAAAUGAACCGAAAGCAGAAAUUUCUCACCAGUGCUAGAUGAAUAGAAGCCUACUGGUUGUUUCAAAUUACAGAACUUGUCAAUAUCUCGAUCCAGCUAAAAAGGGCCAAGAGCUAAUACCAACGCCAAAACAGCAUGCGUCCACACCAGACUAGUUAAGCUCUAGUAACAAGGUGUUAAAAUCAACAAUUUUGUUGGCGAUUGUGAUAAAACGAUUAGAGGUUGAUUGGGCCCACUAUGUUGCUUCAAUAACUUGUAUAAAUGACAGGUUAAAAAUACAUAGCCAUCAGAGUGGCAAGGAG
rnacentral:lncRNA from 1 species